GAUGAACGCUGGCGGCGUGCCUAAUACAUGCAAGUCGAGCGAACAGACGAGGAGCUUGCUCCUCUGACGUUAGCGGCGGACGGGUGAGUAACACGUGGAUAACCUACCUAUAAGACUGGGAUAACUUCGGGAAACCGGAGCUAAUACCGGAUAAUAUAUUGAACCGCAUGGUUCAAUAGUGAAAGACGGUUUUGCUGUCACUUAUAGAUGGAUCCGCGCCGCAUUAGCUAGUUGGUAAGGUAACGGCUUACCAAGGCAACGAUGCGUAGCCGACCUGAGAGGGUGAUCGGCCACACUGGAACUGAGACACGGUCCAGACGCCUACGGGAGGCAGCAGUAGGGAAUCUUCCGCAAUGGGCGAAAGCCUGACGGAGCAACGCCGCGUGAGUGAUGAAGGUCUUCGGAUCGUAAAGCUCUGUUAUUAGGGAAGAACAAAUGUGUAAGUAACUAUGCACGUCUUGACGGUACCUAAUCAGAAAGCCACGGCUAACUACGUG
rnacentral:rRNA from 1 species